rnacentral:rRNA from 1 species
AGUGAACACUGGCGGUAGGCCUAACACAUGCAAGUCGAACGGCAGCACAGUAAGAGCUUGCUCUUACGGGUGGCGAGUGGCGGACGGGUGAGGAAUACAUCGGAAUCUACUUUUUCGUGGGGGAUAACGUAGGGAAACUUACGCUAAUACCGCAUACGACCUACGGGUGAAAGCAGGGGAUCUUCGGACCUUGCGCGAUUGAAUGAGCCGAUGUCGGAUUAGCUAGUUGGCGGGGUAAAGGCCCACCAAGGCGACGAUCCGUAGCUGGUCUGAGAGGAGGAUCAGCCACACUGGAACUGAGACACGGUCCAGACUCCUACGGGAGGCAGCAGUGGGGAAUAUUGGACAAUGGGCGCAAGCCUGAUCCAGCCAUACCGCGUGGGUGAAGAAGGCCUUCGGGUUGUAAAGCCCUUUUGUUGGGAAAGAAAAGCAGCAGGUUAAUACCCCGCUGUUCUGACGGUACCCAAAGAAUAAGCACCGGCUAACUUCGUG